AAUCCCUGGUUUGAAUGUAUUCAUUGAAUUUUAAACAUGUGUGGUCUUUCAAAUAUAUGGCAUCAACAAGAGAACAUAAAUGGAAAAUGGAUAACAAAUACUGUCAAACAAAGACUUAAGGAUCAAUUCAUUCAAACAUGGUCGAGCGAUAUGUUCAAUAGGCACGUCUCGAGUUCAUCCGGAACACCCGGGAUUUUUCGCAUUUAGCCACACCGAUCACGUGACAUGAACUAAAUGUUCAGCAGGGGUACUUCCGGUUGAUAUUGUUUACUCUGGUAACAAAAUUGUCUUUAACAAAAUAUGUAUUUUGUGGCACGAAAAGUCGCAAUUCAGAUAAUGGAAAGAAAGGGGUGUAUAUCUACUUUGGAUGAUGUUAAAGUUCACCCUUUCCCAACCCUGGAAAAAAAUGUCCACACAGAGGAAACGAUGGCGUCAUUUGUUUAGAAAACCACGAGUAGCAGAACAGUGCAGAAAAUUAGAGCGAUUACUACAUUCCGUAAAAGCUUAUCCAACACAGAAGCAUCACUGUUCUAGCCAUUUCACCAUAUGAAAGGCGAAGAUAACAAACAGUGAUCCAAGUUUUAAGAAAACCAAGAGGUUGAUAACAAUGACUGUACUCCUUAUGUUGACUGGAAUUAUUGACUGGUAUGCAGUAAAACAGCUGAAGGAAAGUUCAACUAUCAAUUCAUUUCAGCCUGGUAGUCUGGCAGUAUUACAGGUAAUCUGGCAGUAAUGGCAUGACAUCAUGAGAGCUAAUCAACAUGGUUAAUGAUGUAUAGAGACACU